rnacentral:misc_RNA from 1 species
CCAAACUUGGUCAUUUAGAGGAAGUAAAAGUCGUAACAAGGUUUCCGUAGGUGAACCUGCGGAAGGAUCAUUAUCGAAUUGUUCAAACUUGGUUGUCGCUGGCUUUCUCCUUAUCCGAGAUUGCAUGUGCACGCCUAGUUCAAACUUUUCAUUCUAACCUCCUGUGCACUUUUGUGAACCAUGGAUGAAAUAAACUUUGUCAAAGUAGCAUUUGGUUUUGAGGUUUGCACUUUGCUUUCCUCUACCGUUUAUUUUUCGUCUAUGGUUCAUGUCUUUUUACUACAAACUAUUAAAUCUAAACCUGGAAUGCUUUACAAGUUGGGACUUUAGUGACCCUUCUUAAAUCUUAUACAACUUUCAACAACGGAUCUCUUGGCUCUCGCAUCGAUGAAGAACGCAGC